GGCUUCGUAGCUCAGCUGGUAAAGAGCUUGCCGCUUUGAAAUACGGUGCUUCUGCCGCUGGUUUGAAUCCAGUCGGAGCUC